UACGGGUGAGGCAAGCGUUGUUCGGAAUCAUUGGGCUUAAAGCGCGUGUAGGCGGCGUCGUAAGUACCUUGUGAAAUCCCUUCUCUCAAUGGAGGAAUUGCUUGGUAUACUGCGAUGCUUGAGGCAGGUAGGGGUGCUUGGAACUCUAGGUGGAGCGGUGAAAUGCGUAGAUAUCUAGAGGAACGCCAGUGGCGAAAGCGG
rnacentral:rRNA from 1 species